AAUAUUGCACAAUGGGGGAAACCCUGAUGCAGCGACGCCGCGUGAGUGAAGAAGUAUUUCGGUAUGUAAAGCUCUAUCAGUAGGGAAGAAAAUGACGGUACCGGACUAAGAAGCCCCGGCUAACUACGUGCCAGCAGCCGCCGUAAUACGUAGGGGGCAAGCGUUAGCCGGAUUUACUGGGUGUAAAGGGAGCGUAGGUGGCGAGUCAAGUCAGAUGUGAAAGCCCGGGGCUCAACCCCGGAAUUGCAUUUGAAACUGGUUUGCUAGAAUGCAGAGGAGGUAAGUGGAAUUCCUAGUGUAGCGGUGAAAUGCGUAGAUAUUAGGAGGAACACCAGUGGCGAAGGCGGCUUACUGGACUGUAACUGACGCUGAGGCUCGAAAGCGUGGGGAGCAAACA
rnacentral:rRNA from 1 species